CCUACGGGUCGCACCAGUGGGGAAUAUUGGACAAUGGGCGAAAGCCUGAUCCAGCAAUGCCGCGUGUGUGAAGAAGGUCUUCGGAUUGUAAAGCACUUUCGACAGGGACGAUGAUGACGGUACCCGUAGAAGAAGCCCCGGCUAACUUCGUGCCAGCAGCCGCGGUAAUACGAAGGGGGCUAGCGUUGCUCGGAAUGACUGGGCGUAAAGGGCGCGUAGGCGGUUUAUGCAGUCAGAUGUGAAAUCCCCGGGCUUAACCUGGGAACUGCAUUUGAGACGCAUAGACUAGAGGUCGAGAGAGGGUUGUGGAAUUCCCAGUGUAGAGGUGAAAUUCGUAGAUAUUGGGAAGAACACCGGUGGCGAAGGCGGCUUACUGGUCUGCAACUGACGCUGAGGCGCGAAAGCGUGGGGAGCAAACAGGAUUAGAUACCCGCGUAGUC
rnacentral:rRNA from 1 species